GUCCUUCACUUGUGUAUUUUCCUUGCGUCUGAAGGGUGGAUCUCAAGUUAGACUACUUAUUUUUAAUUCCCUCGCUUCUCGGUCUGCGGCCGUUUCUCAAUUCAGGGGCUGGACCCUUUGGAGAACGCAGCCUACGCGGUGCACGGAGGAUCCAGCCCACGUAGACCGAGUAGGCUGGACCGAGCGGCCUACGAAAUGAGACGGUCUCUAGCCUACGGAGCGCUUCGUAUUUACGUCACGUGAUACGCGCUGUUUGGUUGCGUUGCUCCAGCAGCCGGCUAGCAAAUUAGCUGAAAGGGAUCCAGAAACUUUACUUUUACAUUUUUUGGAGAUCACCGUCGGCGAUGAAAUAAAGAGAACCAUGGCCAGAUGAUGUCCCACUGACCCCAGCACCACGGGGUGUCCAGGUGGAUGGCAGCUCUGUCCUGAUGAUCCGCUGGGGUUAGGGGUCCUUCUCCAGCACCUCGGGGGGUCCAGGUGGAUGGCAGCUCUGUCCUGAUGAUCCGCUGGGGUUAGGGGUCCUUCUCCAGCACCUUGGGGGGUCCAGGUGGAUGGCAGCUCUGUCCUGAUGAUCCGCUGUGCACUUUUCAGAUUAGGGGUCCUUCUCCAGCAAAUCCAUUUCUCCAGAAUUGUCCUAAUUACAGAGAAAAACAA